rnacentral:rRNA from 1 species
UGGUGGAGUGAUUUGUCUGGUUAAUUCCGUUAACGAACGAGACCUUAACCGGCUAAAUAGUCACACGAUUCUCGAAUCGUGACUGACUUCUUAGAGGGACUGUUGAUGUUAAAUCAAAGUCAGGAAGGCAAUAACA